rnacentral:lncRNA from 1 species
AAUAAUGAUGGCACUGGGACCAGUGUGGGAGUGGCACUGGGACCAGUAUGGGGCUGGCACUGGGACCAGUAUGGGGCUGGUGUGGGGCUGGUGCAUGGGUGGCACUGGGACCAGUAUGGAGCUGGAGAGGGGAUGGUGCAUGGAUGGCACUGGGACCAGUGUGAGAAAGGCACUGGGACCAGUAUGGGGAUGGCACUGGGACCAGCAUGAGAGUGGCACUGGGACCAGUAUGGGGCUGGCACUGGGACCAGUAUGGGGCUGGUGUGGGGAUGGUCCAUGGAUGGCACUGGGACCAGUAUGGGGACAGCACUGGGACCAGUAUGGGGCUGGUGUGGGGCUGGUGCAUGGGUGGCACUGGGACCAGAAUAAGGGAGGUACUGGGACCAGUAUGGGGCUGGUACAUGGAUGGCACUGGGACCAGUGUGAGAAAGGCACUGGGACCAGUAUGGGGAUGGCACUGGGACCAGUAUGGGGAUGGUACAUGGAUGGCACUGGGACCAGUGUGCGGGUGGCACUGGGACCAGUAUGGGGCUGGAGUGGGGAUGGAAUGUGGGUGGCACUGGUAUUGCAGUGGGGAUGGCACUGGGACCAGUAUGGGGACGGGACUGGGACCAGCAUGGGGCUGGUACAUGGAUGGCACUGGGACCAGAAUAAGGGUGGCACUGGGACCAGUGUGAGAGUGGCACUGGGACCAGUAUGGGGCUGGUGUGGGCAUGGUACAUGGAUGGCACUGGGACCAGUGUGAGAAAGGCACUGGGACCAGAAUAAGGAUGGCACUGGGACCAGUAUGGGGCUGGAGUGGGGCUGGUUCAUGGGUGGCACUGGGACCAGUAUGAGAGUGGCACUGGGACCAGCGUAGGCAAAGUAUGGGGAUGGAAUGUGGGUGACACUGGUUUUGGAGUGGGAAUGGCACUGGGACCAGUAU